rnacentral:tRNA from 1 species
CGAGGGAGCCUUGGAAUUCAACCAAGGUGACGAAAUGUUAGCAGUCUUCGUUGCUGCAUGCCUCUCUC